rnacentral:rRNA from 1 species
UUGGAGGGCAAGUCUGGUGCCAGCAGCCGCGGUAAUUCCAGCUCCAAUAGCGUAUAUUAAAGUUGUUGCAGUUAAAAAGCUCGUAGUUGAAUUUCGGGAUCAAUGUUUCGGUCAUGCCGUUGGUAUGUACUGAUAUUAUUGAUUUCUCACCUUCUAAAGAACCGUAAUGCCAUUAAUUUGGUGUCACGGGGAAUUAGGACUGUUACCUUGAAAAAAUUAGAGUGUUUAAAGCAGGCUCACGCUUGAAUACAUUAGCAUGGAAUAAUGAAAUAGGACAUCCGAUUCUAUUUUGUUGGUUUCUAGGAUCGAUGUAAUGAUUAAUAGGGAUAGUUGGGGGCAUUAGUAUUCAAUUGUCAGAGGUGAAAUUCUUGGAUUUAUUGAAGACUAACUACUGCGAAAGCAUUUGCCAAGGAUGUUUUCAUUAAUCAAGAACGAAAGUCAGGGGAUCGAAGACGAUCAGAUACCGUCGUAGUCUUAACCAUAAACUAUGCCGACUAGGGAUCGGAUGAUAUUAAUUUUUUAAUGACUCAUUCGGCGCCUUACGGGAAAC